AUUGAACGCUGGCGGCAGGCCUAACACAUGCAAGUCGAACGAGAGGCGGACGGGCGAGUAAUGUCUGGGAAACUGCCUGACGGAGGGGGAUAACUACUGGAAACGGUAGCUAAUACCGCAUACGACCAGAUGGGGCCAGAUGGGAUUAGCUUGUUGGUGGGGUAUAGGCUCACCAAGGCGACGAUCCCUAGCUGGUCUGAGAGGAUGACCAGCCACACUGGAACUGAGACACGGUCCAGACUCCUACGGGAGGCAGCAGUGGGGAAUAUUGCACAAUGGGCGCAAGCCUGAUGCAGCCAUGCCGCGUGUAUGAAGAAGGCCUUCGGGUUGUAAAGUACUUUCAGCGGGGAGGCGUUACCCGCAGAAGAAGCACCGGCUAACUCCGUGCCAGCAGCCGCGGUAAUUC
rnacentral:rRNA from 1 species